rnacentral:lncRNA from 1 species
AUGGAAAAAAAUGAGCAGCCUGUUGGGAACAGGAAAAGCAGACAGACAGACAAACAUCCCACUGCCCUCCCUGUGCCCAAAUCCCAUCUGAGCCCCCACGUACCUCGCAACAGAGGUGUAGGAAAGGGGUGUCCUCCCAAAUCUCCCAGCCUUUUGCAUCUGGAAGGUGUUAGCAGGGAUCCCAAGGGGUCCCAGCACCCAGGGGCACAGCAGGAGGCAGCGUGGGACCACUGCUGGCCACUGCGAUGGAGGAAACCAGCCCAAGCCCUGGACACCACGGAGAUUUCAACGCCUCUCAGCUCCUGCCCCUUUCCAGCCCUCAGUCUCCCCGUUUGUCCCCUGUCAUCCCCCGUCUCACUUACCAUUCCUUCCCCUCCCCCAUUUGCAGCUAUCCUGGGCACCCACCGCUCUUCUUCCCUCCUCCUCCUCCCCAGCUCUGCUCUCCCCCCCCGUGCCAAAGCGUUUUUCCCUGCCCAGAGCCAGGAUCACAUUUCCAGCACCUCCCUCCACCUGUCUCCAAACCCAAACCCUGUCCAGAGGGUCUCUGCACCCUAUUUAACCCUCUCCGAUGCCCAGAGAUGUGAGGAACCAAGGAGGAGUGAGAUCUUUCAUCUCUUCCUGACAUUGAAUGAUUCAAGCUCAUAUCUGGGGCAGCACCCUGCAAAAAAACUGCAAAAAAAGGGCAGAAACAUCUCCUGCAGGACACCUCCACCCUCCAUGGGUGGCUUGCUUAGGGUAAAGAGAGGUUUGGGCAUCCCAAACAGCAGGGUUCAAGUAAGGGAAGGAAAGUUCAAUCCUGAUAUCAUGUUUUCUUGCAGGUCUUUUUGGUACCAAACCAAAAUGAGCAUCCUGACGUUUCAUCCUAUAUUAGGUGGGUCCAAGCACAUUGAAGCUCUCAUGCCCAUGCUUGCAGGUAGGACAUGCGUGCAAUCACUGCCCUGCAAUGGAGUUGCCCCUUCUCACCCCAAAACUGGAGCCAGCAACAAAGCUGGAUGGACAGAGACUUGCUCUCAGUCCCAAGGCUGGAAGGAUUUUCCUCCAAACUUCUCACUCCAGGAACAGAUUGGAAGUUGA